rnacentral:rRNA from 1 species
UACGAAGGGGGCUAGCGUUGCUCGGAAUCACUGGGCGUAAAGGGUGCGUAGGCGGGUCUUUAAGUCAGGGGUGAAAUCCUGGAGCUCAACUCCAGAACUGCCUUUGAUACUGAGGAUCUUGAGUCCGGGAGAGGUGAGUGGAACUGCGAGUGUAGAGGUGAAAUUCGUAGAUAUUCGCAAGAACACCAGCGGCGAAGGCGGCUCACUGGCCCGGUACUGACGCUGAGGUGCGAAAGCGUGGGGAGCAAACAGGG